AUAUUGGACAAUGGGCGAAAGCCUGAUCCAGCCAUGCCGCGUGAGUGAUGAAGGCCUUAGGGUUGUAAAGCUCUUUUACCCGGGAAGAUAAUGACGGUACCGGGAGAAUAAGCCCCGGCUAACUUCGUGCCAGCAGCCGCGGUAAUACGAAGGGGGCUAGCGUUGCUCGGAAUUACUGGGCGUAAAGCGCACGUAGGCGGAUCUUUAAGUCAGGGGUGAAAUCCCGGAGCUCAACUCCGGAACUGCCUCUGAUACUGGGGAUCUUGAGUUCGAGAGAGGUGAGUGGAACUGCGAGUGUAGAGGUGAAAUUCGUAGAUAUUCGCAAGAACACCAGUGGCGAAGGCGGCUCACUGGCUCGAUACUGACGCUGAGGUGCGAAAGCGUGGGGAGCAAACAGG
rnacentral:rRNA from 1 species